rnacentral:rRNA from 1 species
GUGGGGAAUCUUAGACAAUGGGGGAAACCCUGAUCUAGCCAUGCCGCGUGAGCGAUGAAGGCCUUAGGGUUGUAAAGCUCUUUCAGCUGGGAAGAUAAUGACGGUACCAGCAGAAGAAGCCCCGGCUAACUCCGUGCCAGCAGCCGCGGUAAUACGGAGGGGGCUAGCGUUGUUCGGAAUUACUGGGCGUAAAGCGCGCGUAGGCGGACCAGAAAGUUGGAGGUGAAAUCCCAGGGCUCAACCUUGGAACUGCCUUCAAAACUCCUGGUCUGGAGUUCGAGAGAGGUGAGUGGAAUUCCGAGUGUAGAGGUGAAAUUCGUAGAUAUUCGGAAGAACACCAGUGGCGAAGGCGACUCACUGGCCCAAUACUGACGCUGAGGCGCGAAAGCGUGGGGAGCAAACAGGAUUAGAUACCCGGGUAGUCC